AAUCAACGCUGGCGGCGUGCCUAACACAUGCAAGUCGAACGCGACUGGGGACUUCGGUUCCCAGUUGAGUGGCGAACGGGUGAGUAACACGUGGGUGAUCUAUCUUCGAGUGGGGGAUAACGUUCCGAAAGGAACGCUAAUACCGCAUGACGUUCCGGGUUUGAAGACCUGGAAACCAAAGCCGGGGACCGCAAGGCCUGGCGCUCAAAGAGGAGCCCGCGUCCGAUUAGCUAGUUGGCGGGGUAACGGCCCACCAAGGCGACGAUCGUAGCCGGCCUGAGAGGGCGGACGGCCACACUGGGACUGAGACACGGCCCAGACUCCUACGGGAGGCAGCAGUGGGGAAUUGUUCGCAAUGGGCGCAAGCCUGACGACGCAACGCCGCGUGGGGAUGAAGGUCUUCGGAUUGUAAACCCCUGUCGAGCGGGACGAAUGGCUC
rnacentral:rRNA from 1 species